UACGGAGGGGGCUAGCGUUGUCCGAAGUUACUGGGCGUAAAGCGCGCGUAGGCGGGUUGGUAAGUCCGCUGUGAAAGCCCGGAGCUCAACUCCGGAGGGUCGGUGGAUACUGCCAGUCUUGAAGGUGCUAGGGGGAGAUGGAAUUACCGGUGUAGCGGUGAAAUGCGUAGAUAUCGGUAGGAACACCAGUGGCGAAGGCGGUCUCCUGGGGCAUUCUUGACGCUGAGGCGCGAAAGCUGGGGGAG
rnacentral:rRNA from 1 species